AUUGAACGCUGGCGGCAGGCCUAACACAUGCAAGUCGAGCGAGCGGCGGACGGGUGAGUAAUGUAUGGGGACUUCCCGAUAGAGGGGGAUAACUACUGGAAACGGUAGCUAAUACCGCAUACUAUCGGAUAACCCAUAUGGGAUGAGCUAGUAGGUGGGGUAAGGGCUCCACUAGGCGACGAUCCCUAGCUGGUUUGAGAGGAUGAUCAGCCAAACUGGGACGGCGACACGGCCCAGACUCCUACGGAGGCAGCGUUGGGGAAUAUUGCACAAUGGGCGCAAGCCUGAUGCAGCCAUGCGGCGGGUAUGAAGAAGGCCCUAGGGUUGUAAAGUACUUUCAGUAGGGAGGCGUUACCGACAGAAGAAGCACCGGCUAACUCCGUGCCAGCAGCCGCGGUAAUUC
rnacentral:rRNA from 1 species